rnacentral:rRNA from 1 species
UACGGAGGGUGCAAGCGUUGUUCGGAUUUACUGGGCGUAAAGCGCGCGCAGGUGGAUGAACAAGUCGGAAGUGAAAUCUCGAGGCUCAACCUCGAGGCUGCUCCCGAAACUGUUCGUCUAGGGACUGGUAGAGGCUGGUAGAAUUCCCGGUGUAGCGGUGGAAUGCGUAGAGAUCGGGAAGAAUACCCGUGGCGAAGGCGGCCAGCUGGGCCAGGUCCGACGACUG